CUCACCAAACUCUCCACCCGCUCCCCCCCGCCCCCUCACUCUCACCCUCCCCCUCCACUUCACCAUCCCGCCUCCCCGGAGACUGGCUGCGAAAUUCAGAGGCUGGCACUUUACUCAAAACCUUUUUUUUAAAAAAAGACAGAGAGGAAAAGCCAAACGCAAGGUAGUAAGGUUAAAAGAAAGAAGCAGUGAGGGGUUUAUCUAGAGCGUUGUGCGUUUGCGUUUUGUUUUUUGACUCAAAUCUGCCGUCCCGUCCGUUCCCAAACAUGGUUAGUCUUCUCCAGCUGCUGCUAGUGUACGUACGUCUGUGAUCGGCAGCGUCAGCCCCCUGACUCUCGCUUGCAGCCGGGAGUGGGGCGUAAGGAGCUGGCUGAAGCAUAGCGGCUGCUGAGGCUGACCCCACCCCACACUGCCCACCUCCCCCAAUCUGUCGUGUAUGGGACUAUCGGAUGUCUGCAUUCCUUUUGCCAAAAGGUCGAACCGAAACAAGCACGUGCCUGCUCACUUCUCAGGAGCAGGGACAUUCGAACCCUACAGUUCCUCUGGCCUGUUGGGCCGUGCACUUGUGAUUUCUAGCUGAGCUCUGCCUCAGUACCACAACCACCACCACUUCACCCCUCUUUCCCCAAUACCGAGUUGCACGAGAGCAGAAAUCUCCCCAGCUCCACCCGCCCCCCACCCCAUGCAGACCCGAGGAAAGGGGAAAAUGGAGUUGACAGCUCUCCCUCCGGCCCACCCACCCGUGACGUUGUAACCGGACUGUGCAGUGUUUUCUUUUUAGAGUCGAGUGAGCACGAAGUGGGAGUCGGGGGUGGGUGGGGGGGGAAAACUCUUUACACAGCAGGUUACGGGACGGGUGGGGCAUGGCAGAUGGAAUCCCCUAGUGGCCAUCACCCGCGACUGCAGCGUGACUGUUGACACUGGACACUGCAGUGGGCCGAGACAAUCUGGUUAAGCCUUUCUCAGGGUGGGGUGGAGGUGUACUUCGAUCGGGAACAGCUCGGCCAGUUGGGAGUCGAGACGUUUUAACACUUGUCCUUGCUUAGCGAGCUGCAGGUGUCAGAAUGUGUAAAGCUCCAAGUGUGGGGUCCUGUCCUGCCAAACCCCCCCCAGAGUGCUGUCUUGGGUUUACAUUGAUAUCCCUGCCCCCCCCCCCCCCCCCCAGCCCCUGUGGUGCCUUGUCCUGAGUAGAAAUCUCGGGAGUGGUUCCUGAGGUUGCAGGCCCCUUGCCCUGGUCACCAAGAAGCUGGUGGUUUUAAUCAGGGGGGGUGCACAGGGCCCUGGAACUGCACCUCUGAGCCUGCUGUGCAACCCUUUUACUGUCUGUCCGUGCCACUGGAGGAGGGUGGGCGCCCAUUGGCUGGUCGUAAAUCCAGAUGCAAAGAUGUUUAAUCUCCUAUCAUCACGCAACCCCCCCCCCCCCA